CAAAAAACAACAACAGACCCCAUAAAAGAGGAGGUGGAAUUGCACUGUAUGUAAAGGACCACUAUAUUGCUACAGAAAGGCAUGAAACUAAAGAUGAAAACCACCUAGAAUGCAUAUGAGUCAAUAUAAAAGAACAAAGAAUGACAUGGCCAUAGGUGUAUACUAAAGGCCACCCAAUCAAGCAGAAAAAAAUAGAUAUCCUUUUUGCUAACCAACUAACAAAUAUAUGUAGGAAACACACGACAAUAGUAAUGGGGGAUUUCAAUUACCCUGAUAUCAAUUGAAAGACUAAUUCUGUACCAAGUGAGAAAUCAAAGAAGUUCCUAACCAACCUAGCUGACAAUUUUGUUGUCCAAAAGGUGAAACUAGAGGGACAGCCAUACUGGACUUAAUUCUUACAAACAGAGAAGAA